CUAGCACUUUCACAGGUCCUGCCCUAGGCUGUGGGGCCAGGAUUUGGUAGCUGGUGCUGAGAGAAAACCCUUGGUUGCACCCUUGCCCUGGGACUGUACCAACUGUCAGUCAGUAGGACAGAG
ensembl:snoRNA